CAGGCUUAACACAUGCAAGUCGAGGGGCAGCAUGGUCUUAGCUUGCUAAGGCCGAUGGCGACCGGCGCACGGGUGAGUAACACGUAUCCAACCUGCCGUCUACUCUUGGACAGCCUUCUGAAAGGAAGAUUAAUACAAGAUGGCAUCAUGAGUCCGCAUGUUCACAUGAUUAAAGGUAUUCCGGUAGACGAUGGGGAUGCGUUCCAUUAGAUAGUAGGCGGGGUAACGGCCCACCUAGUCUUCGAUGGAUAGGGGUUCUGAGAGGAAGGUCCCCCACAUUGGAACUGAGACACGGUCCAAACUCCUACGGGAGGCAGCAGUGAGGAAUAUUGGUCAAUGGGCGAGAGCCUGAACCAGCCAAGUAGCGUGAAGGAUGACUGCCCUAUGGGUUGUAAACUUCUUUUAUAAAGGAAUAAAGUCGGGUAUGGAUACCCGUUUGCAUGUACUUUAUGAAUAAGGAUCGGCUAACUCCGUGCCAGCAGCCGCGGUAAUACGGAGGAUCCGAGCGUUAUCCGGAUUUAUUGGGUUUAAAGGGAGCGUAGAUGGAUGUUUAAGUCAGUUGUGAAAGUUUGCGGCUCAACCGUAAAAUUGCAGUUGAUACUGGAUAUCUUGAGUGCAGUUGAGGCAGGCGGAAUUCGUGGUGUAGCGGUGAAAUGCUUAGAUAUCACGAAGAACUCCGAUUGCGAAGGCAGCCUGCUAAGCUGCAACUGACAUUGAGGCUCGAAAGUGUGGGUAUCAAACAGGAUUAGAUACCCUGGUAGUCCACACGGUAAACGAUGAAUACUCGCUGUUUGCGAUAUACAGCAAGCGGCCAAGCGAAAGCGUUAAGUAUUCCACCUGGGGAGUACGCCGGCAACGGUGAAACUCAAAGGAAUUGACGGGGGCCCGCACAAGCGGAGGAACAUGUGGUUUAAUUCGAUGAUACGCGAGGAACCUUACCCGGGCUUAAAUUGCAGAUGAAUUACGGUGAAAGCCGUAAGCCGCAAGGCAUCUGUGAAGGUGCUGCAUGGUUGUCGUCAGCUCGUGCCGUGAGGUGUCGGCUUAAGUGCCAUAACGAGCGCAACCCUUGUUGUCAGUUACUAACAGGUUCCGCUGAGGACUCUGACAAGACUGCCAUCGUAAGAUGUGAGGAAGGUGGGGAUGACGUCAAAUCGGCACGGCCCUUACGUCCGGGGCUACACACGUGUUACAAUGGGGGGUACAGAGGGCCGCUACCACGCGAGUGGAUGCCAAUCCCCAAAACCUCUCUCAGUUCGGGCUGGAGUCUGCAACCCGACUCCACGAAGCUGGAUUCGCUAGUAAUCGCGCAUCAGCCACGGCGCGGUGAAUACGUUCCCGGGCCUUGUACACACCGCCCGUCAAGCCAUGGGAGCCGGGGGUACCUGAAGUGCGUAACCGCGAGGAGCGCCCUAGGGUAAAACUGGUGACUGGGGCUAAGUCAUAACA
rnacentral:rRNA from 1 species